GGCGGCCGUAACUAUAACGGUCCUAAGGUAGCGAAAUUCCUUGUCGGGUAAGUUCCGACCUGCACGAAUGGCGUAAUGAUGGCCAGGCUGUCUCCACCCGAGACUCAGUGAAAUUGAACUCGCUGUGAAGAUGCAGUGUACCCGCGGCAAGACGGAAAGACCCCGUGAACCUUUACUAUAGCUUGACACUGAACAUUGAGCCUUGAUGUGUAGGAUAGGUGGGAGGCUUUGAAGUGUGGACGCCAGUCUGCAUGGAGCCGACCUUGAAAUACCACCCUUUAAUGUUUGAUGUUCUAACGUUGGCCCGUAAUCCGGGUUGCGGACAGUGUCUGGUGGGUAGUUUGACUGGGGCGGUCUCCUCCUAAAGAGUAACGGAGGAGCACGAAGGUUGGCUAAUCCUGGUCGGACAUCAGGAGGUUAGUGCAAUGGCAUAAGCCAGCUUGACUGCGAGCGUGACGGCGCGAGCAGGUGCGAAAGCAGGUCAUAGUGAUCCGGUGGUUCUGAAUGGAAGGGCCAUCGCUCAACGGAUAAAAGGUACUCCGGGGAUAACAGGCUGAUACCGCCCAAGAGUUCAUAUCGACGGCGGUGUUUGGCACCUCGAUGUCGGCUCAUCACAUCCUGGGGCUGAAGUAGGUCCCAAGGGUAUGGCUGUUCGCCAUUUAAAGUGGUACGCGAGCUGGGUUUAGAACGUCGUGAGACAGUUCGGUCCCUAUCUGCCGUGGGCGCUGGAGAACUGAGGGGGGCUGCUCCUAGUACGAGAGGACCGGAGUGGACGCAUCACUGGUGUUCGGGUUGUCAUGCCAAUGGCACUGCCCGGUAGCUAAAUGCGGAAGAGAUAAGUGCUGAAAGCAUCUAAGCACGAAACUUGCCCCGAGAUGAGUUCUCCCUGAGACUUAGAGUCUCCUGAAGGAACGUUGAAGACGACGACGUUGAUAGGCCGGGUGUGUAAGCGCAGCGAUGCGUUGAGCUAACCGGUACUAAUGAACCGUGAGGCUUAACCUUACAACGCCGAAG
rnacentral:rRNA from 1 species